CAGCCGCCGCGGGAAUACAGAGGAUGCAAGCGUUAUCCGGAAUGAUUGGGCGUAAAGCGCGUCUAGGUGGUUAUAUAAGUCUGAUGUGAAAAUGCAGGGCUCAACUCUGUAUUGCGUUGGAAACUGUAUAACUAGAGUACUGGAGGGGUAAGCGGAACUACAAGUGUAGAGGUGAAAUUCGUAGAUAUUUGUAGGAAUGCCGAUGGGGAAGCCAGCUUACUGGACAGAUACUGACGCUGAAGCGCGAAAGCGUGGGUAGCAAACAGGAUUAGAUACCCCCGUAGUCCCUGUCUCUUAUACA
rnacentral:rRNA from 1 species